GGAUCGCCCUUCCUACGGGAGGCAGCAGUGGGGAAUUUUGGACAAUGGGCGAAAGCCUGAUACAGCAAUGCCGCGUGCAGGAAGAAGGCCUUCGGGUUGUAAACUGCUUUUGUACGGAACGAAAAGGUCUGCCCUAAUACGGCGGGCCCAUGACGGUACCGUAAGAAUAAGCACCGGCUAACUACGUGCCAGCAGCCGCGGUAAUAAGGGCGAUCCC
rnacentral:rRNA from 1 species